AUUUGUUCAAGAAUAAUUGCUCCUUUUUUAUCUCAGGAUUCCAAUAAAGGUCCCAAGAAGCAUGAACAUCCAUGGAAGCUUCAUCGACGUGUGAAGAGGCACAACAAAGGAAAAAGAGCAGAGAGAGCUAGAAUCAUGCAGCAAAUGAAAGCAUUAAGAGCAGUUCUUCCCAAUAACCAGAAGCCUGAUGCCAUCUCUGUACUCGGGGAAGCAAUUGAGUAUAUGAAGUAUCUUCAAUCUCAAUUUGAUGCAACGUUUAUGAGGUGUAUGCAACAUCCUCAGCUUGGACCAGGAGGACCAUUGGGAGAACCAAUGUCUCUACAAACGAAUCAAGGGCCGUGCUCUGUUAAUGGCUGCCCA